GAUCUGCCAGUCUCCGCCUCCCAAAGUGCUGGGAUUACCGAGUUUCUGUGGGAAAUGAGAACUGCAGCUGCCAACUUCACCAUUUUGCUGAUGUCACUAAGUGCAAGUUUGACUUUUCAAUUAGACCAUCUAUGCCUAAAGAGUAAGAGCUGUGGUUAAUCUUCAUAGUUGUGUUUUUCUCAGCAUUUAGUGUACAACUUUAUAUAAAAUUGAAUUCAAUGUAUAUUCAACUUGAACAGUGCUGUAUUCAUCAUUUACUGUACAUUCUAGUGUUAAGUCAUAUAUACAUUCAUUCAUUCAACAAUAUUUAUUGACCUCUUGUAUUCAAGGCAUGCCCUAGCUGAGUUAUAAGGGUGAAUCAUAGAGGUAAGAUUUCAUUCCUAAAGGAGUGAAUAUCUAAAGAAGGGAAGACAACAAUAAAUAACAUUAACAAAGCAA